GUGUUUUGGCAGUACAUACACUAAAAUUGGAACGAUACAAAGAAGAUUAGCAUGGCCCCUGCCCAGUGCCUUUUUUAAAUGAUACUGUUUUAC
ensembl:snRNA U6 U6 spliceosomal RNA